GUGCUUGCUUCAACAGCCCAUAUACUAAAAUUAGAAUGAGACAGAGAAUGUUAGCAUGGCCCCUGCACAAGGAUGACAUGCAAAUUUGUGAAACAUUCCAUAUAUUU
ensembl:snRNA U6 U6 spliceosomal RNA